rnacentral:rRNA from 1 species
CGCCUAACACAUGCAAGUCGAACGAGAAAGUGGAGCAAUCCAUGAGUACAGUGGCGUACGGGUGAGUAACACGUGGAUCAUCUACCUUUUAGUGGGGAAUAACCCUGGGAAACCGGGGAUAAUACCGCAUAAGCCCGAGAGGGGAAAGCAGCAAUGCGCUGAAAGAGGAGUCCGCGGCCGAUUAGCUAGUUGGCGGGGUAAAAGCCCACCAAGGCUGAGAUCGGUAGCCGGCCUGAGAGGGCACACGGCCACACUGGCACUGAAACACGGGCCAGACUCCUACGGGAGGCAGCAGUGGGGAAUCUUGCACAAUGGGGGAAACCCUGAUGCAGCGACGCCGCGUGAGCGUUAACCCUUCGGGGUGUAAAGCUC